rnacentral:rRNA from 1 species
UACGGAGGGAGCUAGCGUUGUUCGGAAUUACUGGGCGUAAAGGGCUCGUAGGCGGCCAACUAAGUCACACGUGAAAUCCCCAGGCUUAACCUGGGAACUGCGUGUGAUACUGGAUGGCUUGAAUUCGGGAGAGGGAUGCAGAAUUCCAGGUGUAGCGGUGAAAUGCGUAGAUAUCUGGAGGAAUACCGGUGGCGAAGGCGGCAUCCUGGACCGACAUUGACGCUGAUGAGCGAAAGCUAGGGGAGCAAACGGG